GUAGGGGGCAAGCGUUGUCCGGAUUUAUUGGGCGUAAAGCGCGUGUAGGCGGCCAGGUAGGUCUGGUGUGAAAACUCGAGGCUCAACCUCGAGAGGUCAUCGGAAACCAUCUGGCUAGAGUCCGGAAGAGGAGAGUGGAAUUCCCGGUGUAGCGGUGAAAUGCGCAGAUAUCGGGAAGAACACCCAUGGCGAAGGCAGCUCUCUGGGACGGUACUGACGCUGAGACGCGAAAGCGUGGGGAGCGAACAGGAUUAGAUACCCUGGUAGUCCACGCCGUAAACGAUGGGUGCUAGGUGUGGGUGGUGUCGACUCCAUCCGUGCCGAAGCUAACGCAUUAAGCACCCCGCCUGGGGAGUACGGCCGCAAGGCUAAA
rnacentral:rRNA from 1 species